GAAAACACUAGCUGAGAUCAUUGAACUCCGGAGAGCACCUGACCAACUUCCUCGCCCACGCGUUCAUCAGGCCUAUGCCACAAGGUUCAGAGAUAAAGAGGAAUUUUGCCCCAGGAUGGAAUAAAGCCUCACCCAUAUUUGAUGUAGAUGAUUCAGAAGAGGAGAUUUUGGACUUGGAGUCGAUUUAAGACUUUUUGGAUACUGUAAUGGGUGCAUGUAUUUUGCGUGUGCCAAAGACAUGAAUUUUGUGGGGCAAGUGAUGCAAUGUUAUGGAUUGAAUUAUGUGCCACCAAAUAUGUGGUAAAACCUAACCUCUAUGCAGGUACUUUUAAUGCCACUUAGGACUGGGCCGGAUAAAUAUAGUGUUCAUUUUGAGUUGUUCUCUUUUGAGAUAUAAGUGAGAUUAAACAAUAAAGUCAAUUUUAACUCAUAA